ensembl:ncRNA T02E9.11 ncRNA
GAGUAAAAGAACAAAACAAUAGAUGAAGAUGAAGGACAAUGUGACCCAGAGUGGGCCUUUUUCUUGUUCUUCUUGAGAAGGAGCGAUGAAGACACAGCCACAAGUGUUGGUUGUUCUGGGGCUCACACCCACCCAUGAGGUG